AUUGAACGCUGGCGGCAGGCUUAACACAUGCAAGUCGAACGAGGGGCGGACGGGUGAGUAAUGCUUGGGAAUCUAGCUUAUGGAGGGGAAUAACUACGGGAAACUGUAGCUAAUACCGCGCACCCUAGGAUGAACCCAAGGGGGAUUAGGUAGUUUGGGAGGUAAAGGAUCACCAAGCCGACGAUCUCUAGCUGGUCUCAGAGGAUGACCCGCCAUACGGGGACUGAGACACGGCCCAGACUCCUAAGGGAGGCAGCAGUGGGGAAUAUUGCGCAAUGGGGGCAACCUGACGCAGCCAUGCCGCGUGAAUGACGAAGGCCUUCGGGUUGUAAAGUUCUUUCGGUAGCGAGGCGUUAACUACAGAAGAAGCCCCGGCUAACUCCGUGCCAGCCGCCGCGGUAAUUC
rnacentral:rRNA from 1 species